UGUCAUUAGGUACUUUGACCAGAUCUACUUCCGGUUUAGAAGAAUGUAGAUGGAUAAAUUCGUGAAUAGUGUUUCUGUCCGAUUUAUUUUUAAGGUUUUGUAUAAAACAAAACCGUAAUAAAAUCGGUUGAAUGUCUGUCUAUGUGUUUGUCAUACGCAUUUUCAUGACAUGACAUGAAAUUUGGGUUUUUUUUCCAGCGGAUGAGUGAAGGUUUCUCUUACGUUUGGAAACCAGACUAGACCAGUCUGCAUUUUCAUGGUCAAACCUUCUUUUACAUUUUUAAUGGCUUUUGAACUCCUGCACUGGACAUUUGAAACAUUUUGGUUGGCAGUUUGUUCAAGCUAGGACGAUAGACUGUACUUCCACUCGGCUCCUGUUCAAAUACACCUGAUCAGGUCCAGCGAUUUUGGGCUUUUUGUGGAACAGGAGCACUGCUGUCGCUGCACCGGCAGCUGGAGGUAGAGCCCCUGCCCCAGUUCUCUGAGGCCUGACCUAUGCUUAGAUGAUCCCGGAACUCACGAGAGGAUAAGCACUCGUUCGGGACAACGCGGUCUACUAACACCGGUUCAACGCAUACUACCCGAAGGGGCUGACCUCUAAAACGCGGCAGAACCUUGGCAGAGCUAAGCUCACAUCAUCCCAUCGACAGACUUCGAGGACUUCUAUUUUGUCCCAGCGUGCACCGCUCAUUCCCGGUCCGCUCUUCAUCGAGAGAUGAAUGUGGUCAAAGAGCAGGGUAUACCAUUGACAUGUAGUGGAAAUCUUGCACAGCCAAGUAGUUGAUUAUCUCAUUUGCCUAUUUGGUAUAGACAAAAUUAUUAAUAAAAAUCUGCGGUUAGAGCGUUUAAGUAAAGUAAUGUAAAAAUAAAUAAAAAAUAACUUUAUUAGAAAAUUUGUUUUUUACAAAUAUGUAGAUUUCGGCCAUUACUUGUCACCUUCCUCAGAAUUUGCGUUUCGGUUUGUAAUAGAUAGUAAAAUUAACGGAAACAGAUUGGAAUAUCCUUUUCAAUGGAAAUUAAAGCAAGAUAGGAAGGUUGUUUUUAGGAUUGACGAUUUUUCAAGAAUGUAUGGAUGCGUUUUAAUUUUGAAAAUGAUUACCAAAUUCACCACUAACCAUGGCGACUGGAACUUUUUCGCCAAAAGAAAUGGUUUUCGGAGGUAGCAACAUUGGCUCGAGUUUUCAA